rnacentral:tRNA from 1 species
AUUUUUGUAGCUUAAUUAAAGUGCCAUAUUGAAGCUAUGGAGAUGGACAUGCGCCUUAAAAUA